CUUUCCUACUAAAUGCCUCUCUCACCCCGCCUCUCAUACUCUGCCCACCUCUCCCCUUGCAUAAGUAAUUCCAAAGAAGUGUUCAUCCAUAGAAGAUACCUAACUAGACAUCAAACAUUAAACAACUGGUUCAACCUCAUGUAGAAAGUAUAGCUACCUCUAGAUGACUGCAGGUCUACUGAAAAGGGUACUGUGCAAAGAUUAAUGGCUUUUCUUCCAUUUGUCAUUCCUUCCCAGUGAAUAAGAUGAAGAAGUCCAUCAGAAGUAGCAACCAGGAGAUCUUCCAACACAGACUGCAAACCACAAACUUGAUAACUGAUAAAACUAGUUAAAAACUGCAAAUAUUGAAACAGCAAAUUAGAAGAUGGAAACAGAAGUGAUAGCAGAAGGAAAGAAAAAGAGUGCUAUACUCUGUGCUGGAUAUUCGAGGAUGAAUAAAAUAUUCUCCGUCUUCAGAGGACUUCUCAGGCAAGAAAUCAAAAAUAGUUACAUAGCAUGAUCUCAACACUUAUCAAUAUUUGUGAAGAUAUUCAGCAUUUACUUCUUUAAUGGGGAAAUAGCCUGUUUUGCUCACCUCUGUAUGCACAGCCCCAAGGGAAGUGUUAGUUAAAUCUGUCACUAAAUAUUUGUGCAAAGGAGGCAAGAAGAGGGAAAGGGUUAGAGGAAAGAGGAACCCAUAAAUGAGACUGCAAAGGUACUGGCACAAAGAAAAAGACAACCAGGG
rnacentral:lncRNA from 1 species